rnacentral:rRNA from 1 species
UACGAAGGGGGCUAGCGUUGCUCGGAAUCACUGGGCGUAAAGCGCACGUAGGCGGAUUGCUAAGUCAGGGGUGAAAUCCUGGAGCUCAACUCCAGAACUGCCUUCGAUACUGGCGAUCUUGAGUCUGGGAGAGGUGAGUGGAACUCCGAGUGUAGAGGUGAAAUUCGUAGAUAUUCGGAAGAACACCAGUGGCGAAGGCGGCUCACUGGCCCGGUACUGACGCUGAGGUGCGAAAGCGUGGGGAGCAAACAGG